GGAAGUAAAAUCGUAACAAGGUUUCCGUAGGUGAACCUGCGGAAGGAUCAUUAUUGUAUAACCGAGGUGCGAGGGCUGUCGCUGACCCGAAAGGUCGUGCACGCCCGAGUGCCCUCACACACAUCCAUCUCACCCCUAUGUGCACCACCGCGUGGGUCCCCCUUUGGCUUGUUCGGAGGGGGGCUUACGUUUUCACACAAACUCUGUAUGCAGUGUAGAAUGUAUUUUUGUUUUUGCGAUCACGCAAUCAAUACAACUUUCAACAACGGAUCUCUUGGCUCUC
rnacentral:misc_RNA from 1 species